rnacentral:tRNA from 1 species
UAGGCUAUAGUUUAAAAAAAAUUUUUGAUUUGCACUCAAAAGAUGUCCCCCCUAGACUAGCUUAA